CGUGCUGCAAUGGCGUAUACAAAGGGAAGCGCCCUGGGGAGAGCAAGCAGACCUCAUAAAGUGCGUCGUAGUCCGGAUUGGAGUCUGCAACUCGACUCCAUGAAGUCGGAAUCGCUAGUAAUCGUGGAUCAGAAUGCCACGGUGAAUACGUUCCCGGGCCUUGUACACACCGCCCGUCACACCAUGGGAGUGGGUUGCAAAAGAAGUAGGUAGCUUAACCUUCGGGAGGGCGCUUACCACUUUGUGAUUCAUGACUGGGGUGAAGUCGUAACAAGGUAACCGUAGGGGAACCUGCGGUUGGAUCACCUCCUUACCUUAAAGAAGC
rnacentral:rRNA from 1 species